UCCUGUGGCCUAGUGGUAGAGCGUCUGCCUCAGAUGCGGGAUGGUGUGGGUUCGAAACCCUGCCAAGUCAU